rnacentral:rRNA from 1 species
CAGUCGCCGCGGGAAUACAGAGGCCUCAAGCGUUGUUCGGAUUCAUUGGGCGUAAAGGGUGCGUAGGUGGCUUGGUAAGUUGAAGGUGAAAUCUCGGGGCUUAACCCCGAAACUGCCUUCAAUACUGCUAGGCUCGAGGACUGUAGAGGAGAAUGAAAUUCACGGUGUAGCAGUGAAAUGCGUAGAUAUCGUGAGGAAGACCAGUGGCGAAGGCGAUUCUCUGGGCAGUUCCUGACACUGAGGCACGAAGGCCAGGGGAGCAAACGGGAUUAGAUACCCGCGUAGUCCCUGUCUCUUAUAC